AACCUAGGGCGCGAGCCCGG
rnacentral:snRNA from 1 species